AUUGAACGCUGGCGGCAGGCCUAACACAUGCAAGUCGAGCGGAUGAAGGGAGCUUGCUCCUGGCUUCAGCGGCCGACGGGUGAGUAAUGCCUAGGAAUCUGCCUGGUCGUGGGGGAUAACGUCCGGUAACGGGCGCUAAUACCGCAUACGUCCUGAGGGAGAAAGUGGGGGAUCUUCGGACCUCACGCUAUUAGAUGAGCCUAGGUCGGAUUAGCUAGUUGGUGGGGUAAAGGCCUACCAAGGCGACGAUCCGUAACUGGUCUGAGAGGCUGAUCAGUCACACUGGAACUGAGACACGGUCCAGACUCCUACGGGAGGCAGCAGUGGGGAAUAUUGGACAAUGGGCGAAAGCCUGAUCCAGCCAUGCCGCGUGUGUGAAGAAGGUCUUCGGAUUGUAAAGCACUUUAAGUUGGGAGGAAGGGCAGUAAGUUAAUACCUUGCUGUUUUGACGUUACCAACAGAAUAAGCACCGGCUAACUUCGUG
rnacentral:rRNA from 1 species